GACGAACGCUGGCGGCGUGCUUAACACAUGCAAGUCGAACGGAAAGGCCCUGCUUUGGAGGGGAGCGGCAGUGGGGAGAGGAAGAGGAAAAUGAGAUGAACCUGACUUUGGGAUAAGCAUGACAAACGGAAGCUGGUACUAAUACUGGCCAGGUGCUGCAGGUUGUUGGGGGGGGGGGGAUUGUUUCCGCGGUUGGGCAUGGGCUCGCGGCUUCUCGGCUUGGGGGGGGGGUCGUGGCUUACCAAGGCUUUGACGGGUAGCCGGCCUGAGAGGGUGACCGGCCACGCUGGGACUGAGACACGGCCCAGACUCCUACGGGAGGCAGCAGUGGGGAAUAUUGCACAAUGGGCGGAAGCCUGAUGCAGCGACUCCGCGUGCGGGAUGACGGCCUUCGGGUUGUAAACCGCUUUCGCCUGUGACGAAGCGUGAGUGACGGUAACGGGUGAAGAAGCGCCGGCCAACUACGUG
rnacentral:rRNA from 1 species